rnacentral:rRNA from 1 species
AGGACUAACGCUGGCGGCGUGCCUAACACAUGCAAGUCGAACGGGGGUAGCAAUACCCCAGUGGCAGACGGGUGAGUAACACGUGGUCAACCUACCUCUGUGUGGGGGAUAACUAGCCGAAAGGUUAGCUAAUACCGCAUACGAUCGUUUUGAGGCAUCUCGAGACGAUGAAAGGAGCAAUCCGCACGGAGAGGGGACUGCGUCCCAUUAGUUAGUUGGUGGGGUAACGGCCUACCAAGACUCCGAUGGGUAGCUGGCUUGAGAGAGCGACCAGCCACACUGGAACUGAAACACGGUCCAGACUCCUACGGGAGGCAGCAGUGGGGAAUUUUGCGCAAUGGGGGAAACCCUGACGCAGCAACGCCGCGUGGAGGAAGACGGCCUUCGGGUUGUAAACUGCUUUCUUUGGGACGAGCAAGGACGGUACCAGAGGAAUCAGCCCCGGCUCACUACGUGCCAGCAGCCGC